rnacentral:rRNA from 1 species
GCGGACGGGUGAGUAAUGCCUAGGAAUCUGCCUGGUAGUGGGGGACAACGUUUCGAAAGGAACGCUAAUACCGCAUACGUCCUACGGGAGAAAGCAGGGGACCUUCGGGCCUUGCGCUAUCAGAUGAGCCUAGGUCGGAUUAGCUAGUUGGUGGGGUAAUGGCCCACCAAGGCGACGAUCCGUAACUGGUCUGAGAGGAUGAUCAGUCACACUGGAACUGAGACACGGUCCAGACUCCUACGGGAGGCAGCAGUGGGGAAUAUUGGACAAUGGGCGAAAGCCUGAUCCAGCCAUGCCGCGUGUGUGAAGAAGGUCUUCGGAUUGUAAAGCACUUUAAGUUGGGAGGAAGGGCAUUAACCUAAUACGUUAGUGUUUUGACGUUACCAACAGAAUAAGCACCGGCUAACUUCGUGCCAGCAGCCGCGGUAAUACGAAGGGUGCAAGCGUUAAUCGGAAUUACUGGGCGUAAAGCGCGCGUAGGUGGUUCAGCAAGUUGAAGGUGAAAUCCCCGGGCUCAACCUGGGAACUGCCUCCAAAACUACUGAGCUAGAGUACGGUAGAGGGUAGCGCAAUUUCCUGUGUAGCGACGAGAUGCGUA